rnacentral:lncRNA from 1 species
GGUUGUCAGACUUGCCACCACACAUCAUGUUUCCAAAACUACAUAGUUUCACUUAUCAAUAUUUUUAGAGUUGAAAGUAAACGGAAAUGAAAAUGCAGUAACCAGCGCGUUCGGUCUUACAAAAUAUCCUAAGUUACUAAACAAAAAAAGCAACUAUAAUUUUCUACAAACUCAAAUUUGGUUGAUAAUGUUUUACAUUAUUUGCAUGCAUCGAGUGUAUAUAAAGCGAGAGUCAAUAUUUUACGUGUUUUAUCUUUUUAAGCAUCUUGUGCGUUCAAUGUACCACAUUUUUUAGGGUUCCAUACUCAAAGGGAAAACUGGACGCUAUUAGAAAACUUUGCUGUCCGUUUUCUUUAGCUUUUUAUAAAUUACCUAACAGAACCCAGUCGAUUUUUUAAUUAUGCUGUGUGUUAGUAUAACACUUUUUCUUUCAAUAAACGGCUGUCAUGUUACAUGUAUUUAUUUGUACCAAGAAUGCAAUUCUUAACUAUUAGCGUGACACCUUUCAACAUAACAAUAGACUUUAGAAUAAUUCAUAAAAAAGCAUUUGUUCCUAUUGUUUAUUUCCUAUUUAAUCUGUGGCUUUCUGCAAAAAAAUCCUUUUGAAAAUCAGUGGUCCUAUUAGAGAGUGUGAAGUGUUAGUGUGUGUCUAACUAAUACAUUUUGUUCGAUCACAUAUUUAAUGGGCGAGUUACUAAAUUGCGUCUUUACUUCUAAAGAAUGUGUAUGUGUAAUCAUUAUUGUAAAAAGUACUAUUUGAAAAUGUGUUUUUUUUUAGCAAAUAAAAAGUCGAUGGUUAAGUGUUAUUGAUCGGGAGUGGAUAGUGCUAAAAUACGUGCUUAUAAUAUAUCCACGCUAAAAGCCAUCUAGGGCACUGACUUAUAACUAUAGGGACUGGAAAUACCUACGAAAAAAACGUGCAUACCUACAAUCUGCAGUAAGCAACUAAAAUGGCUGCCAUUGCUAGGGUUGUACCGCAACAGGAUUCAACAAGUAUCGAUAUCGUAUUCUAGUUACGAGUACGUACGAGUCUUACUGGGUGCAGAAAUAUAACAGAGUACAAUUAAUUCGUUCGUCACAGAACUAUCACAUUAGCUUAACUGAUAACAAUAAUACUCAAUCGUAUCGUACUCAAUAACUUUACUGCAUACCAUAAUGUGUACAAGCUGGUGGGUAAAAUUAAAAGAGACAUUGAACAAAGUUAUUCAUUUCUAAACAAUAUUUAUAAGCUUAUUAAAAAACUGUCUAUGAGACAGUUUUUCAGUUCUUCUACAACCGCAGUAUCUAAUCUUAUAUUUAAAAAUGUUUUAAUUAUUGACUUAUUUAAAAGUAACUUAUGGUCAGUAUUGUGAUUGGGAUCACAGUCAAAAAAAGUAUUAAUUUCAUAAAAUUCACACAUAAAUUUAAAAAUGUAUAAAUAAUACACUUCAGAUUUAAUUUUACAAUCUAAAUGAGUUUCAACGAGUUUCUCUGUCUUUUUAAUGAUUUCUAUGACGCUACAAGAGGCAUAUUUCAGCCUUCCUCUUGAUUUUACAUAAAUGAGGCUAUUGAUGUCUUCCUCCCCAAUUAAUAAUGAAACACAAACGUUCAGUCUGCUUCUUCCUUCUUCUUUCGGCUGAAACAAACUCCUUUGGUUUUAUAUUUUCAUGGGAUAAUGGCAAUGGGAACACAUCAGUUGAUGUGGCAGUAUCCUUAUGCUUUCUGAUGUUAGUAAUUUCAUGUAAAACCAACGACUCCUGGGGACCUUCUUUGGGUGUCUGA